GGAUGAACGCUGGCGGCGUGCUUAACACAUGCAAGUCGAACGGGGUACCCAUGACAGAGGCUUCGGCCAAUUGAUUGGAAUACCUAGUGGCGGACGGGUGAGUAACGCGUGAGCAAUCUGCCUUGGAGUGGGGAAUAACAGUUGGAAACAGCUGCUAAUACCGCAUAAUACAGUUGUGUCGCAUGGCACUGACUGUCAAAGAUUUAUCGCUCUGAGAUGAGCUCGCGUCUGAUUAGCUAGUUGGUGAGGUAACGGCUCACCAAGGCGACGAUCAGUAGCCGGACUGAGAGGUUGGCCGGCCACAUUGGGACUGAGACACGGCCCAGACUCCUACGGGAGGCAGCAGUGGGGAAUAUUGGGCAAUGGGCGCAAGCCUGACCCAGCAACGCCGCGUGAAGGAAGAAGGCUUUCGGGUUGUAAACUUCUUUUCUGAGGGACGAUAGUGACGGUACCUCAGGAAUAAGCCACGGCUAACUACGUGCCAGCAGCCGCGGUAAUACGUAGGUGGCAAGCGUUAUCCGGAUUUACUGGGUGUAAAGGGCGUGUAGGCGGGAUGGUAAGUCAGAUGUGAAAACUAUGGGCUCAACCCAUAGCCUGCAUUUGAAACUAUCGUUCUUGAGUGUUGGAGAGGCAGGCGGAAUUCUGUGUGUAGCGGUGAAAUGCGUAGAUAUACGGAGGAACACCAGUGGCGAAGGCGGCCUGCUGGACAAUAACUGACGCUGAGGCGCGAAAGCGUGGGGAGCAAACAGGAUUAGAUACCCUGGUAGUCCACGCUGUAAACGAUGGAUACUAGGUGUGGGGGGUCUGACCCCCUCCGUGCCGCGGUUAACACAAUAAGUAUCCCACCUGGGGAGUACGAUCACAAGGUUGAAACUCAAAGGAAUUGUCGGGGGCCCGCACAAGCGGUGGAGUAUGUGGUUUAAUUCGAAGCAACGCGAAGAUCCUUACCAGGGCUUGACAUGGGGAUGACCGGACUAGAGAUAGUCUUUUCCUUUCGGGGACAUCCCACUCAGGUGGUGCAUGGUCGUCGUCAGAUUGUGUCGUGAGAUGUUGGGUUAAGUCCCGCAACGAGCGCAACCCUUAUUGUUAGUUGCUAGGCAUGAGCACUCUAGCGAGACUGUCCGUUGACAAAACGGAGGAAGGUGGGGAUGACGUCAAAUCAUCAUGCCCCUUAUGUCAUGGGCCAUCACACGUUCUACAAUGGUGGUCAACAGAGGGAAGCAAUACUGCGAGGUGGAGCAAAUCCAUAAAAGCCAUCCCACUUGGAUCGCAGGCUGAAACCCGCCUGCCGAAGUUGGAAUCGCUAGUAAUCGCGGAUCAG
rnacentral:rRNA from 1 species